GAGAGCCGUGUGAUGGGUGACUAUCUAGCACGGUUCAGAGAGCAUGUGUAUGUAGUCUGCACUGGUGAAUGGAAGCCCCUGCCACAAAAAAAGAAGCGGCUCUUCCCACGGCUCUGUCACCAUUGACUCUAU
rfam:Leersia perrieri chromosome 3, whole genome shotgun sequence.